GGAGUUAGCCGGUGCUUCUUCUGCGAGUAACGUCACAGAUGUAAGGUAUUAACUUACACCCUUUCCUCCUCGCUGAAAGUGCUUUACAACCCGAAGGCCUUCUUCACACACGCGGCAUGGCUGCAUCAGGGUUUCCCCCAUUGUGCAAUAUUCCCCACUGCUGCCUCCCGUAGGAGUCUGGGCCGUGUCUCAGUCCCAGUGUGGCUGAUCAUCCUCUCAGACCAGCUAGGGAUCGUCGCCUAGGUGAGCCUUUACCUCACCUACUAGCUAAUCCCACCUGGGCUUAUCCAUCAGCGCAAGGCCCGAAGGUCCCCUGCUUUCCCCCGUAGGGCGUAUGCGGUAUUAGCAGUCGUUUCCAACUGUUAUCCCCACAAAUGGGCAAAUUCCCAGGCAUUACUCACCCGUCCGCCGCUCGUCAUCUUCAAAGCAAGCUUUGAAAUGUUACCGCUCGACUUGCAUGUGUUAGGCCUGCCGCCAGUCGUACAUCUGACGCGAGACUACAACUCGUCGA
rnacentral:rRNA from 1 species